rnacentral:rRNA from 1 species
CAAUAGCGUAUAUUUAAGUUGUUGCAGUUAAAAAGCUCGUAGUUGGAUUUCGGGUGGGACGCAGCGGUCUCGCAUUGCGUUUGUACUGCUGCAGCCCUCCUUCUUGCCGGGGGCGGCCUCUCGGACUUCACUGUCUGGGGGUCAGAAUCGGCGAUGUUACUUUGAGUAAAUUAGAGUGUUCAAAGCAAGCUUACGCUCUGAAUAUAAUAGCAUGGGAUAACACGACAGGACUCUGGCCUAUCGUGUUGGUCUAUAGGAACAGAGUAAUGAUUAAGAGGGACAGUCGGGGGCAUUCGUAUUCCGUUGUCAGAGGUGAAAUUCUUGGAUUUACGGAAGACGAACAUCUGCGAAAGCAUUUGCCAAGGAUGUUUUCAUUGA